rnacentral:tRNA from 1 species
GUGAGUUUAAUUCAGUUGGUAAAGAUAUUUCAUUUUAUAUGCAAGGGUCGGGGUUCGAACUCCGGACAGUUCACU